rnacentral:rRNA from 1 species
CGGGUGAGUAACGCGUGGUCAACCUACCGUUGAGUGGGGGAUAACUAGCCGAAAGGUUAGCUAAUACCGCAUACGUCUCCGAGUGGCAUCACUUGGUGAUAAAAGGAGCAAUCCGCUCGAUGACGGGACCGCGUCCCAUUAGCUAGUUGGUGGGGUAACGGCCUACCAAGGCACCGAUGGGUAGCUGGUUUGAGAGAGCGACCAGCCACACUGGGACUGAGAAGCGGCCCAG